AACGAACGCUGGCGGCAGGCCUAACACAUGCAAGUCGAGCGAGGACUUCGGUCCUAGCGGCGGACGGGUGAGUAACGCGUGGGAACGUGCCCUUUGCUUCGGAAUAGCCCUGGGAAACUGGGAGUAAUACCGGAUGAGCCCUUUGAGGGAAAGAUUUAUCGGCGAAGGAUCGGCCCGCGUUGGAUUAGGUAGUUGGUGGGGUAAUGGCCUACCAAGCCGACGAUCCAUAGCUGGUUUGAGAGGAUGAUCAGCCACACUGGGACUGAGACACGGCCCAGACUCCUACGGGAGGCAGCAGUGGGGAAUCUUAGACAAUGGGGGAAACCCUGAUCUAGCCAUGCCGCGUGAGCGAUGAAGGCCUUAGGGUUGUAAAGCUCUUUCAGCUGGGAAGAUAAUGACGGUACCAGCAGAAGAAGCCCCGGCUAACUCCGUG
rnacentral:rRNA from 1 species